rnacentral:rRNA from 1 species
UUAAGCGACUAAGCGUACACGGUGGAUGCCCUGGCAGUCAGAGGCGAUGAAGGACGUGCUAAUCUGCGAUAAGCGUCGGUAAGGUGAUAUGAACCGUUAUAACCGGCGAUUUCCGAAUGGGGAAACCCAGUGUGUUUCGACACACUAUCAUUAACUGAAUCCAUAGGUUAAUGAGGCGAACCGGGGGAACUGAAACAUCUAAGUACCCCGAGGAAAAGAAAUCAACCGAGAUUCCCCCAGUAGCGGCGAGCGAACGGGGAGCAGCCCAGAGCCUGAAUCAGUGUGUGUGUUAGUGGAAGCGUCUGGAAAGGCGCGCGAUACAGGGUGACAGCCCCGUACACAAAAAUGCACAUGCUGUGAGCUCGAUGAGUAGGGCGGGACACGUGGUAUCCUGUCUGAAUAUGGGGGGACCAUCCUCCAAGGCUAAAUACUCCUGACUGACCGAUAGUGAACCAGUACCGUGAGGGAAAGGCGAAAAGAACCCCGGCGAGGGGAGUGAAAAAGAACCUGAAACCGUGUACGUACAAGCAGUGGGAGCACGCUUAGGCGUGUGACUGCGUACCUUUUGUAUAAUGGGUCAGCGACUUAUAUUCUGUAGCAAGGUUAACCGAAUAGGGGAGCCGAAGGGAAACCGAGUCUUAACUGGGCGUUAAGUUGCAGGGUAUAGACCCGAAACCCGGUGAUCUAGCCAUGGGCAGGUUGAAGGUUGGGUAACACUAACUGGAGGACCGAACCGACUAAUGUUGAAAAAUUAGCGGAUGACUUGUGGCUGGGGGUGAAAGGCCAAUCAAACCGGGAGAUAGCUGGUUCUCCCCGAAAGCUAUUUAGGUAGCGCCUCGUGAACUCAUCUCCGGGGGUAGAGCACUGUUUCGGCAAGGGGGUCAUCCCGACUUACCAACCCGAUGCAAACUGCGAAUACCGGAGAAUGUUAUCACGGGAGACACACGGCGGGUGCUAACGUCCGUCGUGAAGAGGGAAACAACCCAGACCGCCAGCUAAGGUCCCAAAGUCAUGGUUAAGUGGGAAACGAUGUGGGAAGGCCCAGACAGCCAGGAUGUUGGCUUAGAAGCAGCCAUCAUUUAAAGAAAGCGUAAUAGCUCACUGGUCGAGUCGGCCUGCGCGGAAGAUGUAACGGGGCUAAACCAUGCACCGAAGCUGCGGCAGCGACGCUUAUGCGUUGUUGGGUAGGGGAGCGUUCUGUAAGCCUGCGAAGGUGUGCUGUGAGGCAUGCUGGAGGUAUCAGAAGUGCGAAUGCUGACAUAAGUAACGAUAAAGCGGGUGAAAAGCCCGCUCGCCGGAAGACCAAGGGUUCCUGUCCAACGUUAAUCGGGGCAGGGUGAGUCGACCCCUAAGGCGAGGCCGAAAGGCGUAGUCGAUGGGAAACAGGUUAAUAUUCCUGUACUUGGUGUUACUGCGAAGGGGGGACGGAGAAGGCUAUGUUGGCCGGGCGACGGUUGUCCCGGUUUAAGCGUGUAGGCUGGUUUUCCAGGCAAAUCCGGAAAAUCAAGGCUGAGGCGUGAUGACGAGGCACUACGGUGCUGAAGCAACAAAUGCCCUGCUUCCAGGAAAAGCCUCUAAGCAUCAGGUAACAUCAAAUCGUACCCCAAACCGACACAGGUGGUCAGGUAGAGAAUACCAAGGCGCUUGAGAGAACUCGGGUGAAGGAACUAGGCAAAAUGGUGCCGUAACUUCGGGAGAAGGCACGCUGAUAUGUAGGUGAAGUCCCUUGCGGAUGGAGCUGAAAUCAGUCGAAGAUACCAGCUGGCUGCAACUGUUUAUUAAAAACACAGCACUGUGCAAACACGAAAGUGGACGUAUACGGUGUGACGCCUGCCCGGUGCCGGAAGGUUAAUUGAUGGGGUCAGCGCAAGCGAAGCUCUUGAUCGAAGCCCCGGUAAACGGCGGCCGUAACUAUAACGGUCCUAAGGUAGCGAAAUUCCUUGUCGGGUAAGUUCCGACCUGCACGAAUGGCGUAAUGAUGGCCAGGCUGUCUCCACCCGAGACUCAGUGAAAUUGAACUCGCUGUGAAGAUGCAGUGUACCCGCGGCAAGACGGAAAGACCCCGUGAACCUUUACUAUAGCUUGACACUGAACAUUGAGCCUUGAUGUGUAGGAUAGGUGGGAGGCUUUGAAGUGUGGACGCCAGUCUGCAUGGAGCCGACCUUGAAAUACCACCCUUUAAUGUUUGAUGUUCUAACGUUGACCCGUAAUCCGGGUUGCGGACAGUGUCUGGUGGGUAGUUUGACUGGGGCGGUCUCCUCCUAAAGAGUAACGGAGGAGCACGAAGGUUGGCUAAUCCUGGUCGGACAUCAGGAGGUUAGUGCAAUGGCAUAAGCCAGCUUGACUGCGAGCGUGACGGCGCGAGCAGGUGCGAAAGCAGGUCAUAGUGAUCCGGUGGUUCUGAAUGGAAGGGCCAUCGCUCAACGGAUAAAAGGUACUCCGGGGAUAACAGGCUGAUACCGCCCAAGAGUUCAUAUCGACGGCGGUGUUUGGCACCUCGAUGUCGGCUCAUCACAUCCUGGGGCUGAAGUAGGUCCCAAGGGUAUGGCUGUUCGCCAUUUAAAGUGGUACGCGAGCUGGGUUUAGAACGUCGUGAGACAGUUCGGUCCCUAUCUGCCGUGGGCGCUGGAGAACUGAGGGGGGCUGCUCCUAGUACGAGAGGACCGGAGUGGACGCAUCACUGGUGUUCGGGUUGUCAUGCCAAUGGCACUGCCCGGUAGCUAAAUGCGGAAGAGAUAAGUGCUGAAAGCAUCUAAGCACGAAACUUGCCCCGAGAUGAGUUCUCCCUGACUCCUUGAGAGUCCUGAAGGAACGUUGAAGACGACGACGUUGAUAGGCCGGGUGUGUAAGCGCAGCGAUGCGUUGAGCUAACCGGUACUAAUGAACCGUGAGGCUUAACCUU